ACACAGGCAUUAACAUAUACGGUCAUUGUCUCUGCUGCUUCCCACUGCAGCUUUAUAUAAUAAAACAAGCCGCGUCAAAUAGGCUAGGCUGUAAUAUUAGGUAAAAUCUAAUUUCAGUUUGGUUAUCACAUAGCGUUCAUUUCCCUAAGGGAGGAGAAAAAAUUAAAUUUGUAAGCUUAAGAUUCCAGCUGAAGUACUCAAGAAUCCUGUUUCUCUGACAGAGGAAAGGAACAACAACUUGACUGGACACAUCCUAACCCAACCAUACGCUGUGUUACUUCCUCCACUGCGCCACACACAGCUAUUAUUCUAAGCUCUCUUAUUCAAACCCUUAAGGAUUUGUAAGGAGAACACUAAGAAGAUGGGCAGAAAUCAAAGCUUCCUGGUGUGAGGUUGUGGUAGAAGAUUCCUGGUUGAUCAAUGUAUAGAAGAUGGAAAUGGAUUCCAGUUGUGGGAAGGAAGAAAUCAUUGCUGCAGUCUCAGUCUGCUCUGCAGGAAUAGACCAUCUGAGGACACAGCACGAAGGUGGCCAUCUGCAAUUCAAGGAGAGAAGCCUCGGGAGAAAAUAAACCUGCCGGCACCUUGAUCUUGGACUUUUAGUUUCCAGAGCUGUGAGAAAAUAAAUGUUUGUUGUUUAAGCCACCCAGUCCGUGGUAUUUUGUUAUGGCAAACCUAGCAGACUAAUACAGAGAAGGAUGAAAAAUGAAGAACAUUUUUUUUUUGGAGCCUAUUACAACAGAUGAAAAUUCAUGCCCUCUUACACCCUAAGUUUCAGAGUAGGGAAAUAAAUACUACAUGUAAUGAAGACAGCAAAUUAUACAAUAUAUGAGAAGGUAAUAAAUGCUGUGGAAGAAACUCGAAGGUUAUAUUGAACUAGGAGAUCAGCAGUGCUGGGGACAGAGGGUUACAGGUUUUGGUACCAGACAGGAAGAGCAGGGAGGCAUCAUUGAGAAGGUACCAACUGUGUACUCAGAAGAGAGGAGGCAGCUGGUUAUGAGGUCAUCUGGGGGACAGCACGACAGGUAGAGACAGGAAAAGUAUAAAGGCUCUGAGGUGGAACCUGAGGGUUGGAGGCACAGCAGGAAGCCAAGAUAGCUGGCAUUCACCAUAAGAAUGGUAGAAAGGAGUCUGAGGCAAGAUACAGGCCAGCCUGCAUGGGGCCUUGUAGACCGAGUAAAUACCUCGGAUGUUGCAAGGACUUUUCUGCCUUGCACGUUCUCCUUUCUCAAAAUCUGUUCCUUCUGUUUGUUCUACAAAUUCCUAGUUUCUGAAAACCAGCUACUGAUCUGGUCUAAUUUUCUCUUUUUAUCAUAGGGUAAAAGAUACUUGAAUAAUAUUCCACAUAUCACUACACUCAGAUUCUACUCUUGAUUCUGAAGUUUUUGUUUGUUUGCUUUUUACUAACAUCAUCUUCUCCCUCAACUACCUAAUCUUUGGCUUUCCUAAAUUGGGAAAAUUAAUAUGACAUAAGUUUCUUCAUCAGAUAUAUCCUCAAAAUGAUGGUUAACUGAGCCAAGGUCAUAUUGGAAAAGGGUUUGAAAUGAGAACAUAUGGACACAGCGAGGGGAACAACACACACUGGGACCUGUUGCAGGGUUGGGGGGCGAGGGGAGGGAACUUAGAGGACGGGUCAAUAGGUGCAGCAAACCACCAUCCACACAUAUAUCUAGGUAACAAACCUGCACAUUCUGUAUGUAAAGUAAAAUAAAAAAACACUUCCAUAUAUUACUUUAAAAAUGUUUUUUAAAAAAAGAAAGAAAAAGAGUUCGAGACACGGGACCAUUGCUUAAGGAAGGGUGCACAAUGGGGUUAUAAAUCAACACUCUUAGGCUGAUGUGUUCUGUGGGAGAGGGGCUCUGCAGAGGGAUCUGGCAGGCUGAAGGAGAUCCAUGGUAUUGUUCAGGAGAUAAAUGAGGGAUAGGGUGACCUGAAGGAGAGAAAGAGAAGCCACUGAGGGAACACAUGUAAAGACAACAACGUUUAAGUUUAGUGUUUGUUCUAUGAACAACAGACACACCCAAAAAUGUUAUCUCAGCAUAUACAUUGUGGUAGUAUCUUACUGUUUAUUUGUAUAAUACCAAAAAUCUAUGCAGAUUAUAAUUCUUAAUAAUGAAUUUCACCAUUGUGGGAAACGAGAAAUAAAUAUAAAAAGUAAAAAUGCCUUAAAUCAAGUGAUUACUUUCAUUUCCAAUUAUGUAUCCUCACACUGAAACUCUGGGUUGGGUGUCACGGACCUCGUUCUGCAGAAGCAAGCGUAUGUGAACAAGGUUAUUGAUUUAAACUUGCACAGACACAGGAAUUGAUUCAAUCUGAAAACAAAAACGUGAGCUCAUGUGUGUGUGUGUGUGUAAAAUUUCUUCAUGAAAAUGAAAGACUAUGCCAUCUUCAAGUUGGACAAUACCUAAGGGUCUUCAACUCUAACCUCUUUAUUGUGUUAAUAUGAAACACAGAGGUAGGGUAGGAGAGUGGCUUAUCCUUGGGAGUCCCAGGAGUCAGGUCUCAUGACCUCAUCCAAUGCUGUUUUGAAGGUAUCUCUAGCUGGUUUUACAGCUAGAGAGCCUGGGUUCAAAUAUCAGCACCACUACUUACUUGCUGUGACCUUGGGCAAGCUACCAUAUCUCUCUAUGUGUUAGGUUUCUCAUCUGUAAAAUACAAAUAACAAUAAUACUUAUUUGUGGUUGAUUGUCUAAUGAGCACAAAGUCUGCCAUGCCACUAUAUACUCAUCUGUGUAAUGUGACUUUGCUAAUCCUCUUGACCAAGGGGGUAAUCUCUUCGAAUCUGGGUUAACCCUGUGACUUGUUUUGACAAAUAAAAUGCACA
ensembl:lncRNA novel transcript